rnacentral:snRNA from 1 species
GGAUGUGAGGGCGAUCUGGCUGCGACAUCUGUCACCCCAUUGAUCGCCAGGAUUGAUUCGGCUGAUCUGGCUGGCUAGGGGGGGGGCCCCCUCCCCCCCCCCCCAUCC